CAUAUUAGCUUGUUGAGGAAUUCUAUAUGUUAAGCUUUUCUUGAUGGUAUCUCCUAAACAGGACAUCCAUUAUAUUCAUAAUAGGUUUUCUAAGAGAGAAUUUUUAUGUUGCACCUGGAUUUAACUUUUCUUACAUUCAUCCUCUGCAAGAAUUAAAGGUUUUCCAACCUAAAUCACCCAUGACCAAGGAUUCUUUCUUUUAGAAAGACAGGUUUAGAAACGAGAGAGCACUUCUUAGCAGAGAGGAUGGUACACUGCACCCUGCAGCCCAUAACUUUUUGUCUCCAUCUAUUUUCUAGUAAAAAUGGUGCGCCUCAGUAUAAGUACAACUCCUCACCACGAUGAAAACAGAAUAAUUAAUGUAAUCCCAGGAUUCAAUUGUUGAAAUGUAAUGAAAAUCCCACAUAGAAACACUUAGGGCUCUAUCAUGACUUCUUUAACAAAUGGGUGUCUUCACCAAGAUUUUUGCUAAUCAUUGCAGGGAAAUUUCUUUGUACACUACCCGCAUGUAGAAAAUCCGACGUAGAGUGCAUCAUCUCGCCCGAUUAGAUUACGUAAUUAUCACUUUUCAAUAUGCAUUUAAUAUCUGAAGUUCCACUUAUUCGUUUGAAAUUUUGAAUGGCGAAAAUGCCGCUUCUUUUUUGAAAAAAUUAUGACAUCCUAUAUCAAUAUUAUAACAUUCUGCAUUGAAAAUUAUAACUUUCUAUACAUAUCAUAAUUUUUUCAAAAAAUAUCAUAAAGAAAAAAAUUUUUCAAUGAUGCAAAUAUUUCUACCAAAAUUAUGAUAUCUUAUAGAAAAAUUAUGACAUUUUGUAUAGAAAAUCAUAAUUUCAAUGCAGGAUGUCAUAAUACCUGCAUAUGAUAUCAUAAUUUUUUUUUUUGAAGAGAACAUUUUCGUCAUUCAAAAUUUCAAAUGAAAAAAUAAAAUUAUGAAUAUUAAAUGCACAUUAAAAAGCGAUAGUUAUGUGGUUAAACCAAAUGAGACGGUGUGCUCUACAUCGGAUUUUCUAUACCACAGGUGGUGUACAAAGAAUUUCUCAUCGUUAUAGUUCUCUAAUCAUCUCAAUUCAUGCAGUGCCUUCUCCGCGUUCAGCUGGUGUUGGGCUUCCAGAAUCAGAAUCCAUCAACCAGCAGCACCUUGAACUUUCCAAACAAUCCCAAUAGAACCAGACACCCCUGGCACUUCCUAAUAUUAGUUCUAUGUCACCUUGCCUUUUCUUCUACCUCAAUNNN
rnacentral:lncRNA from 1 species